ensembl:lncRNA
AUGGACUGCAGAGUGUGAGAGCUAUAAGACUCCAAGAAAUGAAGGUUGUGGUAGGGUCCAGCUGAUUAGACCUUCAUCGAGGAGGGCUGUCUUGAAGUGGGCCAUGGCCAUGGUCAAGAGUAGGAUAUGAGAAGGGGAGGAGACUGUGCACGAGGGAAUGGAGAGAAUUUGAGCAAAGGCACAAGGCAAGAAUGUCCAUAGGCAGGUUUAUGGCACCCUAAAUUCCCUGGCCAGAGUGGACAGGCCGUGUUGGGAAGCAUAAUGUCCAAGGGAGCCCUUUGGAUGGAGUGUCCAGUCUGAAGUCGCAGUCAUUUGCUUUUGAGUUGGAAGGGCCCUGAGCUCAGUGAUUCCUAACUAACUGUAUGGGGUUUUCCUUUGUUUUUUUCUCUAAUACAUUUGGUGGGCAGUCUAAGCCUCUUAUCCCAGCAUCACACCCAAUGGCCAGUCCCUUCCCCAACUUUAUCCUAUUUUCUCCCUGUCAAGAAAAGAGAUGAACAUUCAAGCAAUUAUAUCGUGGGAGAGCCCUUCUUCAUAUGUAAUAAAAAGCAGCUUAUUUGCAAACCUCCUUUCUUAAACUGUAAAUUAGGACAAGUUACCACAAUAACCUUUACAACCAAGGUUUUACCAUCAUGGUUGAGAACCACUGCCAGGCCAACCUCCAGAUUUUACAGACAGGGAAAUUGUGCUUGUAGGGUGAGUGAAAACGUGGCUGGGAGGCCCAUGUUGGCCUUCAGACUGAGCCACGUUCAAGUUGUAAUUUCACAUCUGAGAAGGUGAGGUUUGCAUGCUCCGAGCCGUUGGCUGAACUGAAGUCUCACUCUUUGUUUCCACAGCAGAUGUGGUGGCUUCCCUUUCUGGGUUUUAGCAGGUGCUUCGGAGAGGCAACUCCUCUCCCCAUCCACAAGUCACGUUGGCACCCUGCCUGUGGUGUCCUGUCACAGGCCCCGUGGGAGCAAAUCAGCAAGCUACCUUCGGUGGCGUGACCUCCCCUCCUGAGAGCAUAGGAUCUGCCUGGUUGGGUUAUCAACGGAAAGGCCCCCUCGACCCUGGCAGCACAGGAAGCAGCUGAGUGAAAUGACGAAAGCCGUGGCAAGCCCUUGAGCCCCACUAGGAUCUUUUUCUUGGCUGUAGACAAAGGGGAGGGGAGGCUUCUCCAGAGACCCAGGUUGAGGCUGACUUGGACUCCUCUGCUCUGACUCAGGUCUCCUGUGUGGAGAGAAGCUGCAGGUGACAGGGCCUCUGGGCCCAGGAGACCCACAGGGAGGGACUUACACAGCACAAGACAGUGCUGUGGACUGGCCAGAUGUCCAACUGCCAGCAAGGAAGCCUCGGGUUCUUGUCUUUUAAAGUAAAGUUUAAAAUUUUGAUCAAAGCAAUACAUGCAUAUGCUUAAAACAAUCACUUGUAAUGAAAAACAACCAUCCAGCAUCCACCUCCUUUAGAGGCCGCUGCUUUUAACUCACCGUUUCUUCGAGUAGUUGCCUCCAGAUCUCUCAAUGAUAUGCUUACGCUGCUGCUUCUUGAUUUAUCUAGUCGGUGCAUUGUCUGUGUACUUCCUGCUGUGACGGACAAAGAUUGCACUUUCUGACACCAGCCCCCUUCCUCCCCUGUCCUCAUCUCCCAAGAUAGUAAGAGCUCUGUCUUACCUAAAUCAUGUUUAAAGUGGCACCGUUAUUCAGACAUGUAAUUGAUAACCACUAGAGAGCCAAGUAUUGCCCUUGGAUUGUAUUUCCUUUCUUACAUGAAUUUUUGUUUUAUUGCAGAAUUGGAACCCUCCCUCCUGCCCUCCGUCCCGUCUGUCUGAUACUUCUCUUUUUCUUUUGCAGCACUGUCCUAUCAGGUAUCAAGUAUUGUGUCAGGUCUUCUUGUCUCCCCAGGAAGUUGCAGUGUUAGCCUAGCUCUGCCCCUAACUAGACAAGGGGCCCUGCCCAAGUCCCCUUGUCUCUUGACCUCAGGGGGCUCAUGGUUGAAAGAGCGCUCAGGUAGGAGGCUAGAGGUCCAUCUUGUCCUCAUUCUGAACCUCAGAGCUCACGCUCCCUCACCCCAGAGAUUUUUCUGUCUGAGGAGUCUCUGCUCCUGGAUGGAACAGUCCCAGGCCCUGACAGGUGGCAGAGCCAAAAGAACAGGCAGGGGAGGGGCCCGAUUUGGGCCCUGCCUCAUGGUUGUCCGCUCACCCUGCCUCUGACCAGAGGGCUGCUCCCUGGGGUAGUGUGGCUGCAUCUCUUGCUCUUUUUUUCUCCCCUGUUCAUUUUCAUUCAGUGCAGGGAGCGUCACAGUUCCCCAAAGUCUCCAAGCUCCUAUUCCAGCUCCAUCUCUUUUCGUGUCACUCCUGCUUAUGCUGUCUACCCAAAGUUCUCCCAAAGGAGUCAUACAAAUACUGACCUUUUUGGUAAGAGCAUGAUUGAUACAUAGCUCACAUACUAUUCAGUUCACUCAUUUAAAGCAUAUGGUUCAGUGAUUUAUUUUUUAUUUAUUUAUUUAUUUUUUUGGCUGCAGCUUGUAUAAGUCCCCGGACCAGGGAUCAAACCCUUUUAUAACUUACUUAU